CCUGGGGGAGCAGUCAGAGGGCUACUGCAGAACUUGAGAUGAGAAAUCGUCUUGGCCUCUGCUAGAGUAGGACAGGAUCCCUAAAGAGAAGUUGGAUGAACUUGAGAGGUUUUAAGGGCCAGAAUCUGCAGGAGUUCUUGAUAAAAUGGGCCUGAAGGCCUGAGCUAAAAGAAGGAGUCCAGAACAAGGUGUGCUCUGUCAUCCAUGGACAUGGAGUCAUGGCAUGGCAAGAAACAGCGGCAUGUCUUGCAUUUCCUUUGCAUUUGCCCGAAUUCGUGGAACAGUAUGUGGAAAUCACUCACUACAUCCAGAACAGCAAUUGCACAGAUGCUAGUCACAGCUGCCAGUGUCACUCUUGAAGCCUUCACUGAAGAAUGUUUAAUGAGGGGACCAUUUACAGAAGAGCAGGCCGUGUUAGAGGAACCAACGAUGAAUGGAGAAGCACCCAGGUCUUAGUAACAGGGAAGCUGCUCCCACCCCAGGGACAGAGGAGAAGAGAAAGUUACUGGUCUGGGGUUCAUGCUUCUGAGUGGAUGCUCACAGCUGGAAGCCAGAGUCUAGGGAUCCUGAGUGAUGCACUUAGUACACUGGGAUUUACUCUUGGAGCACAGAGCAAGGCAGGGAAGGGCAGAAAACAAAUCUGGAGAAAGCAAAGACAG